UCCCAGUAGUGAAGCUGAGCAAGUCAAGGUCCAUGGGAGUACUGCAUAGUCCACAGCUUCUACGCUACAACAACAACAGAGGAUUUGGCCUUGAAAUGGAGAGUACUGUGCUAGAUUCCAGAGAAGUUGAGGCCUCUAUGUCAAAGCUGUUGAUUGGGUUGGACGAGAAGUCUGAGAGAGAGAUGCAAGAGAAGCCAUUGGUUUCCAUUAUCUAGAUAUGUGUCGGAUUUGUUGUGAGUUGAUGAAUUUUGAGAGUUCGAUCCAGAUGGGUUUUGUUUGUUGGGAUUCAUCAACCUGCAACAGAAACUGAUCAACUCUAUAGGGGACUGAUCAAU
rnacentral:misc_RNA from 1 species